rnacentral:rRNA from 1 species
GAUGAACGCUGGCGGCAGGCUUAACACAUGCAAGUCGAACGGGAAGUAUGGCGUGUAGACUUCGGGGGAUUUGAGUGAUUUCUAGUAGCGGUCUGGUGAGUAACGCUUUGGGAACCUGCCUUAUACAGGGGGAUAGCAGUCAGAAAGAGCGGCUAAUACGGCAUAGGCUCACAGAGCUGCGUUUCGCAGUGUGGAAAAAUCCGGUGGUAUAAGAUGGACCCGCGUUGGAUUAGCUAGUUGGUGGGGUAACGGCCCACCAAGGCGACGAUCCAUAGCUGGCCUGAGAGGGUGAACGGCCACAUUGGGACUGAGACACGGCCCAGACUCCUACGGGAGGCAGCAGUGGGGAAUAUUGAACAAUGGGCGAAACCCUGAUCCAGCGAUGCCGCGUGAAGGAAGAAGUAUUUAGGUAUGUAAACUUCUAUCAGCAGGGAAGAUAGUGACGGUACUCGAAUAAGAAGCCCCGGCUAACUACGUG